AUUGAACGCUGGCGGCAGGCCUAACACAUGCAAGUCGGACGGUAGCACAGAGAGCUUGCUCUCGGGUGACGAGUGGCGGAUGGGGAGUAAUGUCUGGGGAUCUGCCCGAUAGAGGGGGAUAACCACUGGAAACGGUGGCUAAUACCGCAUAACGUCGCAAGACCAAAGAGGGGGACCUUCGGGCCUCUCACUAUCGGAUGAACCCAGAUGGGAUUAGCUAGUAGGCGGGGUAACGGCCCACCUAGGCGACGAUCCCUAGCUGGUCUGAGAGGAUGACCAGCCACACUGGAACUGAGACACGGUCCAGACUCCUACGGGAGGCAGCAGUGGGGAAUAUUGCACAAUGGGCGCAAGCCUGAUGCAGCCAUGCCGCGUGUAUGAAGAAGGCCUUCGGGUUGUAAAGUACUUUCAGCGGGGAGGAAGGCGAUGUGGUUAAUAACCGUAUCGAUUGACGUUACCCGCAGAAGAAGCACCGGCUAACUCCGUGCCAGCCGCCGCAGUAA
rnacentral:rRNA from 1 species